AUUCCAUUUGGCAGCAUAGUCAUAAAGGGAAACUAAACAGAGAAGGUUACCAUGGCCAGUGCACAACAAUGACAGAAAAAUUCAUCAAGUGUUCCAUAUUUCU
ensembl:snRNA U6 U6 spliceosomal RNA